rnacentral:rRNA from 1 species
CCUACGGGAGGCAGCAGUGGGGAAUCUUGCGCAAUGGGCGAAAGCCUGACGCAGCAACGCCGCGUGCGGGAAGAAGGCUUUCGGGCUGUAAACCGCUUUCAGCAGGAACGAAAAUGACGGUACCUGCAGAAGAAGGAGCGGCCAACUAUGUGCCAGCAGCCGCGGUGAUACAUAGGCUUCAAGCGUUGUCCGGAUUUAUUGGGCGUAAAGAGUUCGUAGGCGGUCGAGUAAGCCGGGUGUGAAAAUUCUGGGCUCAACCCAGAGACGCCACCCGAUACUGCUUGACUUGAGUUCGAUAGGGGAGUGGGGAAUUCCUAGUGUAGCGGUGAAAUGCGCAGAUAUUAGGAGGAACACCGGUGGCGAAGGCGCCACUCUGGAUCGAUACUGACGCUGAGGAACGAAAGCAUGGGUAGCAAACAGGAUUAGAUACCCUGGUAGUCCAUGCCGUAAACGGUGGGCACUAGGUGUGGGUUUCUAUUAACGAAAUCCGCGCCGUCGCUAACGCAUUAAGUGCCCCGCCUGGGGAGUACGGUCGCAAGCUAAAACUCAAAGGAAUUGACGG